AACCCAUGGUGAGGGCACCUUCUCAAUAGAUCUUUGUAUCUCUCCCAUGCAUCAUAGAGUGUUUCUAAAUCUAUUUGCACAAAAGAAGAAAUAUCAUUCCUUAAUUU
rnacentral:snoRNA from 1 species